rnacentral:rRNA from 1 species
GAUCCGUAGCUGGUCUGAGAGGACGACCAGCCACACUGGGACUGAGACACGGCCCAGACUCCUACGGGAGGCAGCAGUGGGGAAUUUUGGACAAUGGGCGCAAGCCUGAUCCAGCAAUGCCGCGUGCGGGAAGAAGGCCUUCGGGUUGUAAACCGCUUUUGGCAGGAACGAAACGGUGUCCGCUAAUACCGGGCGCUAAUGACGGUACCUGCAGAAUAAGCACCGGCUAACUACGUGCCAGCAGCCGCGGUAAUACGUAGGGUGCGAGCGUUAAUCGGAAUUACUGGGCGUAAAGCGUGCGCAGGCGGUUGUGUAAGACAGGCGUGAAAUCCCCGGGCUCAACCUGGGAAUGGCGCUUGUGACUGCACGGCUGGAGUGCGGCAGAGGGGGAUGGAAUUCCGCGUGUAGCAGUGAAAUGCGUAGAUAUGCGGAGGAACACCGAUGGCGAAGGCAAUCCCCUGGGCCUGCACUGACGCUCAUGCACGAA